ACCUGCAUCUCUCAUCACUGCUCUCAAUCCCACAGUUGAAAAUAAAUUCAGCUCUACAAAAGUAAAUCCACAUCUCCCAGGCAUUUCCUGAAUUUACCCCUUCAAAUCUCAAAAUAAUGCCAAUUUAAGAUUAACGUAAACCAUUCACAUCCACGAAUCACCUCUGCAAACCAAACCCUAACUUCCAAAUUUCGUUAUCCGAUUAUUCUUCCCUUACUCAUACUUUUUCAUUAGCCAAUUCUGCAAUGUCCC